GACGAACGCUGGCGGCGUGCCUAAUACAUGCAAGUCGAGCGCAAGAAACUGACGGAACUCUUCGGAGGGAAGGCAGUGGAAUGAGCGGCGGACGGGUGAGUAACACGUAAGGAACCUGCCUCAAGGAUUGGGAUAACUCCGAGAAAUCGGAGCUAAUACCGGAUAGUUCAUCGGACCGCAUGGCCCGCUGAUGAAAGGCGCUUCGGCGUCACCUUGAGAUGGCCUUGCGGUGCAUUAGCUAGUUGGUGAGGUAACGGCCCACCAAGGCGACGAUGCAUAGCCGACCUGAGAGGGUGAUCGGCCACACUGGGACUGAGACACGGCCCAGACUCCUACGGGAGGCAGCAGUAGGGAAUCUUCCACAAUGGACGAAAGUCUGAUGGAGCAACGCCGCGUGAGUGAUGAAGGUUUUCGGAUCGUAAAACUCUGUUGUAAGGGAAGAACACGUACGAGAGGGAAUGCUCGUACCUUGACGGUACCUUACGAGAAAGCCACGGCUAACUACGUGCCAGCCGCCGCAGUAACAC
rnacentral:rRNA from 1 species